rnacentral:lncRNA from 1 species
GAUGCUACCAAAAAUCGUACCUGUAGAUUUUCCGAGCUUGAUGACUGAUGAUGAGCACGAACGUGAUCUUCCGAUACCUGAAACAAAGGCAACGAGGUGUGUUCUCGUCGCCCCUCCGAUGUUUAAGUCAGAAAGGGAAAUAUAUGCGUGAGGCUAUAUGCUGAAGAACAAUGAGAAAAACGUACCUGAAUAAUGGCCCAAGGUUCUGCUUUUAUAGGAGUAGGUAGUGUACUCCUAGUAGGAUUGUGUUGGUUGGAUGUUUUUAUCCAAGGGAAUUUCUAUUAUAAAG